AGUGAACGCUGGCGGUAGGCCUAACACAUGCAAGUCGAACGGCAGCACAGUAAGAGCUUGCUCUUACGGGUGGCGAGUGGCGGACGGGUGAGGAAUACAUCGGAAUCUACUUUUUCGUGGGGGAUAACGUAGGGAAACUUACGCUAAUACCGCAUACGACCUACGGGUGAAAGCAGGGGAUCUUCGGACCUUGCGCGAUUGAAUGAGCCGAUGUCGGAUUAGCUAGUUGGCGGGGUAAAGGCCCACCAAGGCGACGAUCCAUAGCUGGUCUGAGAGGAUGAUCAGCCAUACUGGAACUGAGACACGGUCCAGACUCCUACGGGAGGCAGCAGUGGGGAAUAUUGGACAAUGGGCGCAAGCCUGAUCCAGCCAUACCGCGUGGGUGAAGAAGGCCUUCGGGUUGUAAAGCCCUUUUGUUGGGAAAGAAAAGCAGCAGGUUAAUACCCCGCUGUUCUGACGGUACCCAAAGAAUAAGCACCGGCUAACUUCGUG
rnacentral:rRNA from 1 species